rnacentral:misc_RNA from 1 species
GAUGAAGAACGCAGCGAAAUGCGAUAAGUAAUGUGAAUUGCAGAAUUCAGUGAAUCAUCGAAUCUUUGAACGCACAUUGCGCCCCCCAGUAUUCUGGCGGGCAUGCCUGUUCGAGCGUCAUUUCAACCAUCAAGCCCUGCUUGUGUUGGGGUCCUGCGGCUGCCCGCAGGCCCUGAAAACCAGUGGCGGGCUCGCUAGUCACACCGAGCGCAGUAGCACAUCUCGCUCAGGGCGUGCGGCGGGCUCCAGCCGUUAAAGCACCCACCUUUCGCAAGGUUGACCUCGGAUCAGGUAGGAAUACCCGCUGAACUUAAGCAUAUCAAUAAGCGAGGA